ensembl:lncRNA
UGUGAGGUCAUCGCUCGCCUGCCUGGAGACCACCGCUCGCUGGGUAAUCAAUUCUCCAGCAUCAAAUCGAGCCACCACCGACUUGAGGAUCUCUGUGGUGAUAGACGGCAGUGCCCGCUCAUUUUAGUCCUCGCCAAUGCUGGUGUAGAUAUGAGGAAGCUGGCUGGCCACCGGCCGGAAGAGGAUGUGAAGUACGAUGUUGACGUUCUGCAAGUCUUUGCCACCAGUGAUGACUGGUACAUUCCCUGGUCGAGAGCUGCAGUCAAAGAUAAUUGGCUUCUGUACCCAAGGGUUGAGAACGAUGGACAGAGACUCCCAAAUCCUCAGUGACUCCCCAAAGUCUCCAAGAAGAGAAAGGCACAGUCACGAAGGUCAUCACCUGAACUGUGGUAUGAUAACCACUGAGCUUAACUGUCCUGCUGUCCUUGGCCUGGCCUGGGCUGUGGACACAGGACACUGGAGAAUUGAUUGCCACACGGUGCAUGGACAAGGUGAGGUCAGUCUUCCCACAGGAAAAGCCCCUUCAUCUUCAGGGUCCGAGGCCAAAGACUGCCUCUGCCUCGGUGCCAUGGAGACACAGGAGCCUGGGGCAACUGUCAAGGUAAUGGAAAGUGGACCAGUCUGUCAUUUUAAUUGAUACAUAGGCCAUUUGGAUCACACUUUACUCUUCUCAGGUCUCUGAUUAUAUUGAUGGCUAAACUAUAAUUGUAACUUGACAGCUUCAGAACAAUAGCUAACGCCUUACCCCAAGGUAACCUAGCAGUGUGCUAGUUCAUUAGUCAGUUCAUUAGUUUGAAAACUACUAGGUCUCCUAUACUAAAAAAUAGGCAGACAGGCUCGCCUUGCUCUCGGCUCCGUGUUAAAAGAUCUAACAGACCUUCAUUUUAACGACUGCUCCCUGUGAUCGACCACCCGUGUCUCGUGAUGAAUGACUGGAUAGGAACAAAGAUAAGAGCUGUGAGCUCUGAGGACAUGAGCUUAAGUUAUGAGGAUUUAAAUCUACUGCAGCAUUUUAUGGUUGGUAAGUAAGUUAUGAAAGUUGGAAUGUCUAAGAAAGUGCUCCAAGGUUGGUAAUGGAGCUUGUAAAGAUUGGAGGGGCUAAAACAAUUAUUUAAAAAUGUAAACACAUCGCUUCUCGGCCUUUUGGCUAAGAUCAAGUGUAAAAAUGUAAACACAACAUGUGGUCCAUACAUAUACAGCCACCAAACUAGAUAAGAUGGAUGAAACAAAGAAGUGCAGGCUGACAGGAACCAGAUGUAGAUCUCUCCUGAGAGACACAGCCAGAAUACGGCAAAUACAUAGGCGAAUGCCAGCAGCAAACCACUGAACUGAGAACGGGACCCCCGUUGAAGGAAUCAGAGAAAGGACUGGAAGAGCUUGAAGGGGCUUGAGACCCCAUAUGAGCAACAAUGCCAACCAACCAGAGCUUCCAGGGACUAAGCCACUACCCAAAGACCAUACAUGGACUGACCCUGGACUCUGACCUCAUAGGUAGCAAUGAAUAGCCUAGUAAGAGCACCAGUGGAAGGGGAAGCCCUUGGUCCUGCCAAGACUGAACCCCCAGUGAACAGGAUUGUUGGGGGGAGGGCAAUAAUGGGGGGAGGAUGGGGAGGGGAACACCCAUAUAGAAGGGGGGAGGAGUUAGGGGGAUGUUGGCCUGGAAACCGGGAAAGGGAAUAACAAUUGAAAUGUAAAUAAGAAAUACUCAAUUUAAUAAAGAUGGGGAAAAGUAAACACAAGUUGUAGAGACAUAAGAAAAUGAUUUAAGGUCCAUGAGAAAUGGAAAAUGUUUCCUAUUUCUCCCCUGACCAUGCUAGGGUUAGAAAAAUUUCAAAUUUCAGAAUUUUAACAUUGAACAAUGGAGUUCUGAGAAGCUGGAAUGCUGGCUGCUGAGAAUUUGGUCGCAAGCUCAAGGUUUUAAAUUCCCUUUGGUUGCCUUCUGGAUAUAGACUUAAAGGUUCUUCUCAUGCUAAAAACAUCUCUGUUCAUCUGUGUAUCUAGCCCUCUGGACUGAGGAGAAUGUUCAUGCUUUUUAACCCAAAUCUAUACGUUGUAUUAGAUCUCAAAGGCAUAAAUCUAUUCCUUUUGUCUUCCAGACCCCCCUAAAUCUUUUUCUAAAAUCUUUUUCUAAAACGUUAAGUCUAUAUCAUCUCAGCAGAUUUUCUCCUGGCUGACAGACGCCACCAUCCAGGGAUCUUCUGUGGACUGCACACUGCCGAGCUCUGGACUUACUGAGAGCCACUGUCACCAGUCCUGCUGAUGUGACUGCGCUGUCAUCCAGCUGGAUCAGCCAAUCAGCUGCUUCUGAUGGAUGCCUCACUGCAGGC